rnacentral:rRNA from 1 species
AUGAUGUGCGGUUUAACUACUACUAGUUGUGAGGAGGAGGAGGUUAGCUUUGAGGGGCAGGUGGUACCUCAGAAAGACACCUUUCGAUAUUUGGGGUCAAUGUUGCAGGAGGAUGGGGGCAUUGAUGAAGAUGUGAACCACCGAAUCAAAGCCGGAUGGAUGAAGUGGCGCCAAGCUUCUGGCAUUCUCUGUGACAAGAGAUUGCCAAAAAAGCUAAAAGGCGAGUUCUACAGGACGGCGGUUCGACCCGCAAAGUUGUAUGGCGCUGAGUGUUGGCCGACUAAAAGGCAACAUGUUCAACCGUUAGGUGUGGCGGAGAUGCGUAUAUUGAGAUGGAUGUGUCGCCACGCGAGGAAGGAUCGAGUACGGAAUGAUGAUAUAUGA